AAUUUGCAAGUUGCAAAGGUUUGAUUUAUCCUUUUGCCCACUCUAUUUUAAUGAGUCUUGAUGAAACUCCAAAACGCAAGAGACUAGGACAUGCUUUGCAUACACGAACCAAAACAUGCUAACUAUUGAAAAAAAGAGGCAUGCAGAAGACAUACCAUUGAAAUUAACCUCUGUUAAAUGUGAUGAUAGAAUCUUCUACGAUGCAGAUAAUAGUCACAACUAGUUUACCGAAAAUGUAAAAUUUGUUGAACAAAUUAAAUGACUAUGAAUAACACACAACUUAGUCACCCCCUCACCGGUUAUUUCAUUAGGUGUCAAUAAACAAACUUGAACGAAUUGCAUCAUGAUUCCCACUUGUCUCCUUAUCUAUAUUAUAAAAUACAGCAGUUUUUGUUUACACAUACAAACAAGAGCACCUCUUCAGCCGUCAGAUCAAAUUUCCAAUAGGUUAUAGCCGUCCAAUCAACUCCUUUAAUAAAUUUAUUCUCUCCCUCCCUCUUUCCUUACUUAUUAAACAAUGUUGCUUUUUCUGGGGACAGACAUAUUAUUUCUUUAUUUAACAACAUGCCUUUCAUUAUCAAAACGUUUUCUUCUCCCUAUCGUCAAUCUUAAACUCUAUCAUUGUGGUGUUGUGCAUUGUACAUGUCCACUCAUCCAUCAGAGAACUCUAUUCCAUUCAUUUCUUCCCUCAACUGAGGUAACAAUAGAAAAACAUUAUAGAAACUUUAGUCACAAAAGAAUAAACUUAGUUUUUUUUAGUAACAAGUUGUUUCACCUAUUUCUUGGAUGCAUGAAUCGAAGUAGUAGUGCUCGAUAAUUUGUCUCAGUUGUAGUAGGCCUGUAGCAUUCCUUUGAUUUGAAAAGGGGAAAAUUAACUCAAGUUGUAGCAUUCAGCAACAAGAAUCACUUUCAAUCUUAAAGAAAUUUAGCAUUCGUUAACUUACGGGAAGUGGAGUUUUAAAACGAUUCAUUUUUUUUUUUUUGAUUAGUUGUUGGUUGAACUAUAUUGUAUACGGGUGUGAUAUAAGUAUUGGUUGAUUGUGAUAGCUGUUAAUGAAUGGUUGUACAUAAGUUAAUUAGAAAUAUCAUUUGGGUAUGUGCUCCUACUUUUUCAAUGGGUGUGGUAUUAUUUGUUGUGAAACUAUUCUUAGAAGAAAUAAACUAUUAAAACUUUUCAUUUGGGUUUGUUAAGUUGUGAUCACUAGAAGGGAAGGAAUUUUUUUUUUUGUAAGUUGUAAUAAAAAAGUGUUGCGUCGCGGGUUUUUUUUUUUUAUCGGCGUGUUGUGUCGUGCCUUUAUCACUAGUACAUUGAUAUGUUCCGCUUCUGUUAGCUUUCAAACUUGUUUCUUAUUAACUCACGGUUUGAUCGGAGAAAAAUUAAUAGUGUUGUACAAGGAGCUAGGAAUGGAGCCCCUGAUAACUUCUCAUGAAAUACUUAGAAAGGAGCUUACAGUCAAUGGCCGAGCUUCAGCCACCGCGUGGCCAAAGAGGACACUUGGCCCCUUAAUUUCUCAACAUUUUCUUUUGCUUAUAAAUAUAAUAGUAAAAGUUCUUGGUAAUUUGGCCAUCUUAAUUUCACAUAUGCCCCCUCAGUGUUUCCAACCUCUUCUUUUUCCCUUUCUUUUUCAACAAAACCCCGACAAUUUGCCUUCUUUAAGUAAUUAGAUUACUCAAAGUCAUCCCGUGUAUAUCCCAUUCUAUCUUCAUUUUCACUAAUUUGCUUUCUAUUUAUGUGUACACAAAAAUUAUAUAUCAGCACACCAGUUAUAAUUACAUUCAGCUCAUCUUUGGUGAAGUGCGUAAUGUGCCUGCUAACUUUGAACUUUUGGAGUUAUUUGACAACAGUUCUGGGUCCAAAUUCAUGAGAGAAUGUAUACUGCAUAUAACUAGAACCCCUUUAGUUGAGAAUUGAGAACUUGAUGAUCAGCUUAUGCCGUGUCAAAUGCAGAAAAGCUCUACGGAAAAGAAGAAAUAAGACUACAGAGUAUUAGCUCACUUGUAAUAGGUCAAUACAGGUUAGAGAAACAUCAUAUACACAUUGGUAACUGCAUUACACACUAUGUAGCACCGACACGGACACGUGACCCGACACGAACACGCCCACACAUAAAUUUUAAAAAAUUGGAGGACACAACACAUUGGGGGACAUGAUUAUAUUAUGAUAUUACAUGAAUAAAAGCUACAUAUAUAAGCUGUUAUUGUGAAUAUGUAACAUCAUGUACACCCUAUAAUAAGUAUCAUUAAAUCAUUCACAAAAUUAUUCCAGCAACAAGCGUUUCAUCACUUAGGCGACAUGAUUAUAUUAUGAUAUUACAUGAAUAAAAGCUACAUAUAUAAGCUGUUAUUGUGAAUAUGUAACAUCAUGUACACCCUAUAAUAAGUAUCAUUAAAUCAUUCACAAAAUUAUUCCAGCAACAAGCGUUUCAUCACUUAGGCGUCUUUGUAAUCAAUAAACCAUCAUGUCACACAAAAAAAGACUUCCCUACAUUUUAAUUAAAGCCUACUAUUUCGUUCCCCCCCACCCCCCGCGCGUUGCGAGUGUCCGGAGCUUAGUCACGUAAUCAUUCAAAAUGGCCUUCAAUCACGCCCUCGAUCCAUGCACUAAAGAAUUUUAGCUGUUUGGGAGGUUUUUGAAAGACACUUUCACGCUCUUGCUCUCGCUCCUGCUCCUGCACCAGCCGCACAUUAUGUGACUUAAGUCUGGAGCAAUUUUUAGAAUGUCCCCGAACUUUCAGAUUUAAGUGUCGGAGACGUGUCCCGAGAGUGUCGGUGUCCAGUAAGUGUUCCAACUCUGAUACGGGACCUUCGACAUGUCCCUACUACAUACAUGAUACAUUAAGCAUCAUUUUUGCACUUAUACUGAACACAUUCUAUUUGCCUCUCCUGAACUAAUCUUCAGGCUCCGCCACCAGUAACCCCUGUUCUGAACCCCAACUACUACCAUAGCCACUCUAAACUUUCCGUCAAUUAGAGCAUGAAUUAUAGCAUCUAAAUAGAAAGUUCCAUUUAUUGAACCAAACCACCGACGCUAAUUGUACAACCAAAAUACCAGAAUGAAAGAAUUGAAGUAAAAAUAA